GCGGACAUAGCUCAGUUGGGAGAGCGUCAGACUGAAGCGGGUCCUCUGGGACUUGGAAAACUUCAUUCAAUCAAUCUGAAGGUCGUGUGUUCAAUCCACACUGGCCGCA
rnacentral:tRNA from 1 species